rnacentral:lncRNA from 1 species
GCUGGGUUAAGAGCCUGAGAAAGGGAAUCGUUUUUAUGUUGGCGCGGAAAGCAUGGUCAUCACAGUAGAUAAUGCAGGAGAACAACUCCGUGAAAUCAGGUACGGUUGACAUAUAUUCUCAUCAACGGGGAGAGUGCGACUUCAUUCAUUUCGCUGUUAAAUUAUCCGCCUUGACUUUGUCGACUUCCUGCCUGCCGUGAAAUCGAUCAGGAGGGAGGGAAAGGCUGACUCUGCCAAUGACGAAACGAGAGCUGGAGAAAGCAAGCCUCCAGGUCUUCACUACGGAUAGCCAACAAGCUUCUACAAGCUAGAAACUUUGGGGAGUUGCUUUUGCGGACGGGUCGUCAGUGCGCUCGGAGAAGCAGCUGGCGGUGGUGGCGAUGUGGUUGUGGAUGCUGGUGAUUUGUAUCCUGACGCUAAAAUCCGCCUCGCAGGGCCAGUCUACGGCAGGUGUUCCCUCUUUUCCGUCUAUUCCGAUUUUCUGGCCUGCAUUCAGCUAAAACCAGCGAGAAAAUACAUCUGUAAGCCGCUGCUUUUCUUGCUCAAGAAGUCCAAUUCCCAGACAAACAGGUAGAAGAGACCAUUUUAGAAAUUUCUUGUCCGCAGGAGAAUCGUGUUUGAAAUCCAAAAACUUUACACUGUUUCAAAGAAAAAUCUCUCGUUCCCUUGUAAGAUGCUUCUCAAAAGUAAGGUCUUUUUCAGGUUUCAUUAGCAUAGACUGCGGCCUCGAUGGGGACUCUAAUUACACGGAUUCGACCACGAAGAUCAUCUACUCACCGGACGCCCUCUACAUCGACAGAGGGGAGAACAGGAGAGUUUCCCCAGAUACUUGUUGGCUUUGCAAAGCCAAAGAACGCUUCAAGAACUUCCAGAGAUGGAAGGAAAUCAAGAAAAUAAGAGAAAAACAAACUUCGCGUAAUGAGAA